UCCGUCGUUUUCCGCCGACGCACCGCCUUUCUACCGCCUCCCUCCGUUUUUUGCUCGCAUCGCCUUGCGGAGAUUUUCCGGGGCACGGGAGGAUGAAAAGUUACGUGUGAAGUGUCAAAUUCAGGUUUUUUGACAGUU
ensembl:ncRNA T25E4.4 ncRNA